rnacentral:rRNA from 1 species
AAUAGAUACCCGGGUAGUCCCAGCCGUAAACGAUGUAGAUUAGGUGUUGGGAGAGUCGAUCCUCUCAGCGCCAAAGUUAACACAUUAAAUCUACCACCUGGGGAGUACGGUCGCAAGACUGAAACUCAAAGGAAUUGACGGGGACCCGCACAAGCGGUGGAGCAUGUGGUUUAAUUCGAGGCUACGCGAGGAACCUUACCUAGGCUUGACAAUCUAGAAGUAGUCCUGAUGAAAGUCGGGGCGAUCGUAUCCAAUCGAAGUCUAGUACAGGUGCUGCAUGGCUGUCGUCAGCUCGUGCUGUGAAGUGUUGGGUUAAGUCCCGCAACGAGCGCAACCAUUGCCUUUAGUUACCAGCGAGUAAUGUCGGGGACUCUAAAGGGACUGCCGGUGACAAACCGGAGGAAGGUGGAGAUGACGUCAAGUCAGCAUGGCCCUUACGCCUAGGGCGACACACGUGCUACAAUGGUCAAUACAAAGGGCCGCAAUCCCGCGAGGGGGAGCAAAUCCCAAAAAGUUGACCUCAGUACAGAUUGCAGG